rnacentral:lncRNA from 1 species
CUUACCCAUUAAUAUUUGCCCGUUUUAAUUCCCCAAACCAAAUGUUGUUCAUAAGUAUCAGAAGAAGUGCAAUAUCAAUUCAUGGCUAAACACACAGAGGCAUUUCCAAGGUCAUGUAGCAGAUUUACCAACCAAACUGGAUUUCACUUGAAAGCCACCUUGAAACAAAAGCAACAUUUCAUUUGGUUUGCUGCCAUCUCAUGCCUAUUUAGGUCAAAUUCUUAACUAUCCUGUAUGUGUCAGACAUGGAAUGGCCUCCUAAUCAAACUUUUAACACAAGGUAAUAUUUGCAAGUCCAAUAGAGCAAUGUUUCUCUUCCAUGUGAACAAGCUCUUUAGUCCACAGUUCUGUCUCAACAAAUAAUCCGAAAUAGAAGAACAUAUUUAUGAAGUGAAUAAGUUCAACUGUCAUUUUGGUUUCAUAUUUGGAAAACUGCAAUACAAAAGACAAAAAAUGCAGCAAUGAACCAACCUUCAACAAACCAUGAGGCUCCAGAACUAAAGCUGGGGACGCACAUAUCGCUCCAUAUGGUCUAUUUGAUUCCUUCUGCUUUUUCAGUAAAUUGACUAAUUUGUCACACUUAGCAAAUGCCUGAGCUCCACCCAAUCCUCCCUGUAAUAUUAAUAUAUUGUGAGCAAUUGUCAACUAAUUAAAAGACACAAAACAGCUUUGGAUAGCCCUACUUACAGGCAACACAAUUAGAUCAUAUGAGAGUUUAGAAGCCUCAUCUAAGAGCAUGUCUGCAACUAGUUUCACUUUGCGAGAUGCUUCAAUCUCAACUUUAUCCUCAACAGAGGCUAUGACAACAUUUGCUUUUGAUCGCCGGAGAACAUCAAUGAUGAUAACAGCUUCCAUUUCCUCUGAGCCAUUGGCAAUAGGCACCAGAAUCUGAAAAGGACAUUAAACCAAAACAUCUUUACCACAAAUCAUUUUUUUUCAUGCAACAAAAUGAUCAACAAUCUGGCAAACUCUUUCUUCUUUUCUUUUCUUUUUUUUCUUUUUUUUUUGGGGGGGGGGGGGGUAAGAAAAGAGAAUUACACUAUUACUCUCCUCAUAAAACUUGAUCCUGUCUGACCUCCAAUCAACAAAGGAGGCAAACCUCUCAGUGGCCUAUCUAAUACCAGAAUGUCAUUUACAUCGCAUGAAUGAAGUAUCAAAUUUGCUAACCAAUCUGCACAAGUUUCCUUCGCUAAAAGUACACAAUGGGAUAAGAUUCAUGCAAACAAACGGAAGCCAACUAUUUACGUUUACAAUUUGUGUGUGCACCCUCACACAGAGAUCAUUAUAAAAAAGAAAAAAGUGUCAAACACCAAUGAAUUACCCAUAGAAGAUCAUGGCAAAGGACUAAGACUUUUGAAAAGUCCAAUCAGUUAUGCACCUCUUAUGCUCUGUUCAUGGUUUUUCCAAUUCCACAUCAUAUUUACACAUUAAACUCGCUCGACUUCUCAUGGUUAUACAAAACUCAAAGCGGUCAAUAAUUUGCAUGCUAAAGUGUCACCCUAUUUAUCUUCUUCUUACAAGUGCACAAACUGAGGUGAUUAUAUGCAUCAAUGAAAUGGACCUGGAUUGCAUUGAUCGGUCUUCAGCACACUAGAGAACUAGUGCUUGCCAGGAUCUUCAGUUUAGAGGUUUACUCUUUUAUUAGCGCAUAGACUGAGAAGACAGUGCCAACCCGAUAAACCUCAAUGAGAAUCAGCCUUAAACCACACUGAGAAUUGAAGUUCGUCGUCAAGCCAACAAUAAGUCCAUUUUCAAGCUAACUUGGACUAAAUAACGUAACUCUGAGAAAUUGAGUUUGAAAUUCACUACCAGCUAUUCGAUUCUAUCUAGAUGGAGCCUCAUCUUUAAUCUUGCUAAGUCAAUGAGUUACUCGACCAAUUCUAAACCUAGCCUCAGUUUGAUUAACAAGAUUGAGUUCCUUAAUCACUCAAGCUUGACAUGACCACAUCGGAAUUAAUGAAACAAGACCGACUCAUCAAUCAGUGCUGCACAUGUAAGAAUAGGUAAUUUGAGUUUAUCUUGUAUAAACCAAAAGAAAUAAGCAAUCAAAGAAAAUAUACCUCACUUACUCCCUUGCAGAUCAUGGACUUAACUAAGAAAUUUACCUGAGGCUGAGGGCCUUUAUCAAAAGUCCAGUCCAUUGGAUUCAGUUCCAACAUAUGAUAUUCAUCGCCAUGAUUGGAGCGCAUCACCUGUGUAGAGGAAAAAAGAGCCAAGUAAAUAUUUUAGACAAUUCCAAAAUGAUAUGAUAAAGCAAUUAUGUGACGUCAUGGCAGAAUAGGCGCAACACAAUACAUGGUGCUUGCAGUGAAAUUUGCUUCCAUAAAAUUAAGAUGGGAAAAAUUAUCACUCUAUUAAAGAUUUUCACCAUGUCAUCAGUCCCCCAAAAAAUUUAUGAGCUACCUGCUCCAAAUGAUAUUGAACCCUUCACGACACAUUUUUGCACCACCAAGAGCAGCCUUAACACCUUCUUGACAUUAUUUAUAUAUGAAAUAUAUCUAUUAAGCUAGUUCCCUUGUUUAGAUCUUUUUAGCAGGAGUGCAACUGCAACAAGCUAGAUAAUGAAGCUUCAAAUGGUUCCUUCCACCAACAUUUGUGCUUAGGAAUUUUCCCUUUAAACACAUUUAUCUCAAAUGAUUCAUUGAGCAUCACUGGGCCAGCCACAGCCAUCUUAACACCUUCUUGGCAUUGUUUGCAUGGAUUAACUGCUGUAACCUAAUUGUUUUCUCUGUAUUCUAUACCAGACCUUUCCUAUACCUAUAGAGGAUACUAAGAUUGUUUCUUACUAUACUUUGUUACUGAGGAAUAAGAAAGAUAAAUAUCUGCAUGAUGGGGGUGAUUCACUCUGAUGAAGGAACCAAAAUGGACUUAACUAAAUACAGAAGUAAAUUUUGCUAAACUUCUACAUUAAAGAUUAAGUAUUAAAACCGGGAUGGUGCUAUUGCUCAUGCAAAGCAUGUUUACAUUCUCUAGGAGAGCACAAUAGAGUAAAGGUUCCAACAAGACCACAUUAGCAUAAAAGAAGUUCACAGAGGAGACACAUACCAGUGGCCCGCCAACUUCUUCUGCCUUCUCUUUUCCAAACAAUUGCUCAACUAAGGUAACAGCAUACUCCAUAGUGGUACCAGGCCCGCGACUGGUAACCGUUUUGCCAUCUACCUGCACCCUGGAUUCGACAGCUGUAGCAAAUGAUGAUAACUGCUCCAUUAAAGAUGGAUGACAAGUUGCCUGUCAAAACCAGCAUCCUCACAUUUUAAAUCUGUUUGUCAUCAUCAUAAUUAUCGUGAUUAACGACAUAUGAAAAGUGAGGGCCUACUUUCAAUCCCUUCAGCAAGCCCCAUGAUCCUAGCACUACUGCAGGCGAUGCGCAGAUAGCAGCAUACAGCCGACCAUCUGCAGCUUGUUUCUUCACCAGGUCUUCCAAAACCUUACAGUCUCUGAGGCUAGAAGCACCAGGCAUUCCUCCCUGAAGAAUAGAAUGUGAACCAAAUAUAUUAACACCAAUUGAUCAAUACUUCGGUACACGCUGCAAUAUCCACAGCAGACAAACCGCACGUGCAUAAAUGCUUAUCAAUGAGCAAGUAGUGCACAGUAAGAACAAUCAAUCUCACAUAGACAACGAAUCGAUAGUCCUAUGCAAGCUUCAGCUAGCUAUCAUCAUCUAUCAAAGGAAUUCCUACUCUGGUUAAAUACGUACAGCCUCCAAAUUUCACUGAAAGUAAUUAAAGCAACGGAAGUUCACAGCGGCUUCGCACUCAGUCAACCACCAAACAGAGUCACUAAUCCGCUGGUACCGGUAAGCGACCGGUGCCUACAGGCAGCGAUCGCCACGUACACUAACGCAGAGAAGCAGGAGAAAGCACAGUGCAUACGUACAGGUAGCGAGACCAGAUCGAAGGCCGCGUCGGCGCAGUCGGAGAUCAGAGCGUCGGCGACGAUCUUCGCGCCGUGGCACACGUCGACGCGGAGCUGCUCCUCCGCCGAGGCCACGGUGACCUCGGCCCCGGCCCUCCGCAGCACGUCGAUCGUCACCACCGCCUCGAGCGGCUCCGUCCCGUUGGCCACCGGGACCAAAACCUAGCAAAAAGACACGCGGACAGAACGCACUCCGUAAGUACGCGCGCGUCCAGUGAAGCAACCGAAGGAGAAGGAGAAGAAGAAGAGGCCGAUGCAUUGCCUUCAUGGGAGAAGAAGCCAUCGACGAAGCGGAGACGGAGAAGGAGAGGCGAGUGAUGGUCGUUUUCUUCUUCAGAGGAGGAGCGAUUCUGGUAGUGGUAGGUAAAGUGGUAGGCGAGAGACGGGGUUUAAAGGCGAAGAGAAGACGGCGCGGAGCGACGACGUGACGCGACGCCAUUGGGUCGAAUCGUAGGGCGUGCUUUUUAUAUGCCGAUUUCUCUAGGGGCGUCUGGCAUGGUUUUCUUCGUGAGCUGGAGCGAGCGUACGGAGAUAAUGGCGGACGCUGGAGUUUCUCUCUGGAGUGGACAUUUGUCCGGUGGUCAGUACGUGAUGGGCCGGGCCGGGGUGGGCCGGGGUGUGCUGGGCUUGGUGGACCAUGGGCCUGAUGCAAUCGAGGGGAUACACGGGCCGGGCAUGCGUGGCGUCUUGUCUGUGUGUUUUAAGCCCAAGAGACAUCCCAACUCCCGUCACGAAAGUGGUUAAUUAAGGGUCUGCAUGACAAACUUCCCCAGCCCAAGAAUUUCUAUUCUUCUCUUCCCCAGAACCAAAAAAGAAUAGAAACCCGCAUGAUAACGGCAAGUUAAUUUUUUGUUCCCGGGAACAAAAUGUAUUCCUAGGGUAGUUGAUAUCGGUUGCUCAUUCCCACCCUGUCUUCCUAAAUAGAAAUUCCAUGUGGAAGUGGAGGCACCGUUAAUACGUGUUAUGAAAAAUGGAAGCUAAAUUCGAUGAAAAUGGUUAGUUAACCUAAGUUUUUCUUUUCUGUCUUUAUUAGUCGAUCUAAGUUUUUUUUAAUCGAAAAAAUUGUCGUAGUUACUGAAAUAGAUACAAAAAAACUACUUUUAUUUUGUAGCAAAGCCUAAACAUAUUGUAGGACAAUGCCAAAUCCAAAAAAUAAAGAGGAUUAACAAGACACUAGCGAGGUUAAGUACACAAUUGUUCUAUAGGAACAAAUACAUUGGGCAAAGUAAUUAGUGGUUUAUUACUAGAUUUUAUAUCUUCGUUAGUGAUGAGCACACUUCUGAAUAUUUUUCUUUGGUAUUUAAGGUGUUGACAAUUGGUGCUAUAUGCCUAGAUUUAGCUUCCUCUACACAAUGAUUGUACGUAGACAAUUAGGUUGAGCAAAUGCAAAACUAACAUAUGAAAGAACAAAUUAUGUGGUUCAAUGAGACAUUAGAGCUCCUAUGAUCACCAUUGAAAUUGAAAUACAUGGAUAGAGGAUAGAGUAUUGAAUUCUAGAAAGCAUGUUACUAAACUCCGCAGCUUAGGUUGGGAGAAAAUAGCUCAUAGAUCUAAAACAAGAUCGGGAGAGUUCAAACUCUUAAUAUAAAACUAGAUUAGAAGAAAACGGCUCACAAAUUUAAAUUGUGGGAGAAGAGAAAAUUAACAAGGGAUGGAGCCAUGCCGAAAGUUGAAGAAGAGAGAGAGGACUUUAAUGAUUUGAUUUACUAAUGGCAGUCAACCGAAGGUUUUUUUUUAAGCAGUCAACCUAGAUAUUGUAAGGUUUAAUCUAUAUAUCUUGAGAAACUAUAGAGUUAUGAAAAUUAUUUUCGAUUUCUAACAUUCCAGCAUUUCGCUAUGUAUUUAAUGCACGACAAUGUUCACAACCACAAGAACAACGGCACACGUGUGCUUAACGGUUGCGGUUGAAUUCUUAAAUAGGUCAAAGAUUAAGUAUACUGCAUCCAAGCCUCACAACAAAAUUUUUCUUUUUCGGACAUCAUCAAUUAGUUGCUAAAAAUGCAUUCUCAUCGAAGAUACGGCUAUCAAAUGUCAAAGAAAGAAAGGGCACCGGUUACAUAGAUUCUCGCGUAACGGCAAUCUUUUCUAAGUCGAGUAACAGAGCAGCGGGUAAUUAGUUGGAUCCCGAAGGAUGCCAACGCAUACUUUUCAAUUCCAAACAAAUGCCUACCAUCAAUGUCAAGUGAAAGAUUUAACCAAGCAAACCCAAAUCCCAAGUGCGGCAAAAAAAUGCAUGUAAUAAUGUAGCAACAAGAUAGCGAAAAGUCUAACACUUUAGAGUGGGGAUUAUUAAGAUAAUUUAAAUAAUAAACUGUGCAUUCAUCUAACAACUUAAACAUUUAACAACAAUCAGUAAUGGUUCCAUAAAAUCGUGCUUGCCCUUUUCUUUUUUUUGACAAUAUUACGUUGAGUAGCAAGACAAAAAAAAUCCAUUGACAUAGUUAGUUUGAUAGGGUAGGGCUUACUCCUGAGUUGAGCGGUCAUGAGUUCGAAAAAUCUGAGUUGCUCCUCAACCUUAAGAAGCCCCGUUUCAUUUGCGGCAUGGGUUAGACUAUGUUAAGGCAUAGGGAUUACCUUAACUCUAGCCCACCGACACUUUGGUGAGGUGGCAAUAACAAACUCACUUAAAUAAGUAAUAGUUAUAUUCCAAAUCGAAUAUUUUAUUGUAUACAUAAAACUCUUAUGCUACCGCCCACGGGGUCACUGGCUCAAGACAAACAGAAUGACACGUGAAAGUAGAGACACCAUUAACAUGUGUUACAACAGUUGGAAGCUAUAUUAGAUAUAGAUGAUUAGUCAACUUAAGUUUUUUUUUUUUGUCAUAUUAGUCAAUAUAAUUUUGUUUAUUGGAAGAAAAAUUGUAUUCAUUACUAAAAAAGAUACAUAAGAACUAUACAUAUUUCAUAACAAAGCGAAUCAGAGUAGAGCAAAGUCUAAAAUCAUUGUAGAGCAAAGCCAAAUCUAGAAAGAUAAGGAGGAUUAACAUAGCAAUAGCAAGGUUAAGCAUGCACUUGUUCUGCAAGAAUAAAUUUGUCAACUAAAAUAAUUGGUGGCCAAACGCUAAAAAUCCCAUUUUUUGUCAAAGUUUUAUUCUCCAUCCUCUAUGGCGUUGCCAAUUGACGAUGCACGUUUAGAUUUGGCUUCCUUUACACCAUGGCCAUAUGGAGAUAAUAAAACAUGUUGAACAAGCACAUAUCUAACAUUUGGAAAAGCAAAUUGUCGUGGUUCAAUAAUACAUCACCAUUUCUAUAAUUACAAUUGAAGCUGGAGGUAGAGGACUUGUAAAUAGACAAAGCACUGAGCAUUGAAUUCCUGAGAGCAUUAUUAAGCUCCCUAACCUAGAUUGUAAGAGAAUAGCUCCCAAAUCUAAAACUAAAUCAAGCUAGUUCAAACUCUUAAAAUAUGAAACUAAACUAGGAGAAGAGAGAAGAGAGCUUCUAUGUCCAAACUAGAAUAAAAGACAAAAUGAGAAGAAAAAAAUACAGACAAAAUCAACAUGAGAUGGAGGAGAGGGCGAGACUAGCUCAAACCCUCCCCAUGUUGGAGAUUGAAGAAGAGAGGAGGACUAAAGAUUUGAUUUACUAAUGGUGAUCAACCUAGGCGAUCAACCUAAGUUAAAAAAAAGUAAUUGUAAGGUUUAUCUUGUAUAUCUCAAGAAAUUUUAAAGGGAGGAAAUUAUUUUCAAUUUCUAAAUUAUCAAUUCCAACAUUCCAGCAUUUCGCUAUGUAUUAAAAUGCACGACAAUGGUCAUGAUUAAAAGAACGACGGCACGCACUUAGCAAUUGCAGUCGGAUUCUUAAAGAGGUCAAAGAUUGAGUUUACCAUAAUUAUGUCUCGCGACAAAAAAUAAAUAAUUUAAAAAAUACAUUUCUAAAAUUGAUUGGUUGUAUCGGUUAAAACAAUGAUUCAAUAAAAAAACAUUAUUUCUAUUAUCAAUCAUUUAUAUCUAAAUAAUUUUAUUGAUAAUUAAAAAAACCUUUUUUUUAUAUUCUUUUAAGUAAUUUGAGUGAUCAAUUUUUUGGGGGAAUAAAUGCAUUGGACAGUACACCCGUGUGGAUAUCUAGUGGCACAGGAAUCGUUGACGGAGUCAAUUUUUAUGUAAUUCACACGUGGCGGAAUGAGGGAACCAACGAUCAGGAAUCAAAGGCCGCGUUUGACUCUCAAAAAUGGCCCACAACGGAUUUGUCCAAACGGUGCGGCUUGAAAAGCGGGCAUUAAAAACGGCAGCAUUGUGUCAUCUAAUCCAUCUUAAAUCCGACUUUGGGACCUGCUUUCCCACUCGCAAUCCCAUAAAUAUUAUAAUCAAGCAAUUGGAAUUAGUUUAAUGAUCGAACUCAAGUUGAAUAAUUAGUCGGUAUUUGGUAUCACUCAUUUGAGUUUUAGUCAAAUGUUUGGCAAUAUUCUUGGGAUUAGAUAUAUUUACAUAGGAUAAGAAAUUCGAGUCAGGAAAGAGAUAAACGCGAAUUUAAUAAUUUUUCCUUUUAAAUAAUGUAACGGUCUUCUUUCGAAGAUGGAGUGUCAUAUAGACUUCUUAAUCACUGUGCAAGACCUUCUCCACGGCAGUUAAUCAUUAUUGCUUUUGAUCACCAUCCAGUCGUUGUUGCCUCAAAUAACUGCCAAUCAUCAUUGCUGGCCGACCGAUCAUGUACAGACGAUGAAGGAUGAAAAGGACAAAUCGUGAUUCUCACCAUCGAAGCACUAAGAUUUCCUCCACAAGUGCGCCAAAUCCUUCGAUGUCAUUGUCGUGAGGUACAUCUAUCUUCAAUACCUUGGCACCGUCCACCGGUGGAUUUUUUGUCCACUUCCUCUUGGCCCUCAUCAACCCGAAAAUCAUCGAUUUCGUCAGUAAGUGGCACCCAAGAUUCGUGGUGUCCACCACCCAAUCGCCACCAUUCACCUCUAAAUCAGUCGUCGGUACCUCAUCGGCCAAAUCGAUCAUGCUCGCUACCUCUCUGCUAGGGGUCAUCAAACCGAACCGAACUGAAAAAUUCGAUUUUUUGGGUUCGGUUUUCAUUAAAAAUCGAAAUUUUUCGGUUCGAUUCAAUUUUUAUCGAUUAACCGAACUGAACUGAACCAACAACUAAAAAUUGAGAAAUUUGAGUUUAACAGAAGAAAAAAAAAAACCAAAAACUUAAGGUUAAAAACUAAAAACCAAAAAAUCGAACCGAACCGAACCGAAAUUUCGGUUCGGUUUGGUUUCGGUUCAAAAGAUUUUUCUAACGGUUCAAUUCGGUUUGGUUUUUCAAAAAAACGAACCGAACCGAAUCGUUGACACCCCUACUCUCUGCUGCUCCGCGACUCCCUCGACAACUCGAGACUUGUCUUCACCGAAUUCCGAAUCACCGCUGAUGCUAUAAAAUUAAGCAAGGACUACGGCCUACGGUGGAGAUGCAAAAAAUGGUGACAAGGGAGACAAAUUGAACGGAGCUUAAAGGUAGCGAGUGACCGCAAUAGUGAGGGAGCUCAAGUCAUGAAUUGCCGGGCAAAAGUGAGAUUAAAAAAAAAAAAUCGGAUUUUGAAUUACACCAAACAUGCAAUGACAUUUUCUAUAGUUUAGAAACUUUCUGAAGAAUUUAUAAUUUCACUUUACCUUAUUAUAUCACAAUCUUAAUACAUACAACUAAACACAAUCUUAAUUGAUACAUAGACAAUAUAUAUGUACAUUUCCGACAAAAAAUAAAUAAUAAAUAAAUAAAUACAUUUUCAUACUUUUUUAAGGCUAUGCUUAUAUUCAAUUUGUUGAGUGAUUGUUGUAUAUUCGCUUAUUGAAUAUCAUCGUAAAAUUUUAUCUCAGACCAUCUCGCCUUGAUUCUUACCAUUUCCAAUUCAAUUCUUGAUUUGAAAAAAGUGAAACGGGUAUCGUGUGAUUUGAUUCUCGAUUCCUAGGUAAAAUCCACACCAAGCAUCGAGAAUCGAUGAAUCCGAUCUGAAUUAAUUAUAAAUUCUCCUUUUUCUUUUGCUAACAAUAACAAAGCCUGUCUCUCAAGUCUCGUCACCUCUCGUCUUUCGAUUUUGCCACGUAUUAAUGACAAACCAGCACCCACUGACUCAACAUUUUAUAUUGUUUUCUGUUCUCUAUAUCUAGUUUCCCACACUUUCGUUGAAAUAGUCCCUUUCCCAUUGGGAGUCAAGAUCCGCAUCUUUAGUUGAAUGCUCCUAAAAGGGUCGUGUAGGGAAGAAAUUGUUAAAAAAAUUAGGCUAUUGGAGAAUAAUAUAAGGACUAUAGUUAGUAUUUUUUAUUUUUUAACAAAUAUAAAUUUCCAAAGUACAUACCAAGCACGACGAUGUCUACAUCAUUUGGCUCAGGGAAAGGGAGGCUUGACUAAGAAGUAUGACUAUUGUAUCAUGAACUGCAGCUCGCAUCUAAUAAUUGUAAGCAUGUCGCCAAAGAGAUCCUUUCUUAUUGGUACAAAUUUGUUUCAUUGUUAUGUCACGUGUUUUGAACUUUUUAUUUUUUAUGUUAUUUUAUGUGUUCAUCUUUUUAUGAAUUGUUGUUAUUGAUAAAUUGAAAUUUUUGUCAGUGUUCAUUUUCAUUUUGCUAUACUAAAAAUGAAACAAAAAAAAGAAGAAAAAUGAAACCAGAAAAAGAGAAAUUAGUUGAUUUAUGAGUCGACCCUAGAGCCAAUUGGCAUGAUAGGUUCAUAUUCUCACUUUAAAAGAAUGUAAAAGAGGUUUCAAGUUCCAAAAAUUAAAUGAUGAACUCUAACAUGAUAGAUUUAAGGUUGCCUGAUCAAUCCUAGAACUGCUUACCUGAUUAUCUCAUGCAUACUUUGCAAAGAAACUGCCCAACUGAUUUCUUCGUUGAAUGGAUUAGUUUAAUUUUUUCUAUUUUCAACUUGGAGUUCGUAUUUUCCUUUCCAAAUCAUAAGAACAAACACUGAUUUUGCCAACGUAUCUCAAUGGACAAGGAAAGUAUUGAAAAAGUUAAAUCGAUUGUGUUGGUACCUAUUCAAUUAUAAAUAUUUCGAUUAAGUUAAUUUACUUAUAAACAUUUUACAUUUGUGUCAAUUAAAUCUAUCCAUAUUAUUUUGGCCAUAAAUCAACAAUGUUAAAAUUAGUAGUCUUACAUGAUGCGAUUAGCGUUGACGCGGACAUUAUAUUAAUAAUUUUUAUUUUUUUAAUUUUGAAUGGUGAGGGUCACUAGUAAAAAAUGCAAGAAAAAAAGAAAAAAAAUUAAAAUUUAAUUUUAAAAAUUAGUAAAAAUUAUUAACAUUAGCAAUUUCUUAUCAAAAUUGGCUGAUUAGACUUAAUUGACAUAAACGCAAAAUAUUUAAGACUAAAUUAAUUCAAUCCGAAAGAUUAGCACUAAAUCGGUACCAAUAGAAUAAAUUUAGAAUUUUUUUGGUACUUUUUCUNNNNNNNNNNNNNNNNNNNNNNNNNNNNNNNNNNNNNNNNNNNNNNNNNNNNNNNNNNNNNNNNNNNNNNNNNNNNNNNNNNNNNNNNNNNNNNNNNNNNNNNNNNNNNNNNNNNNNNNNNNNNNNNNNNNNNNNNNNNNNNNNNNNNNNNNNNNNNNNNNNNNNNNNNNNNNNNNNNNNNNNNNNNNNNNNNNNNNNNNNNNNNNNNNNNNNNNNNNNNNNNNNNNNNNNNNNNNNNNNNNNNNNNNNNNNNNNNNNNNNNNNNNNNNNNNNNNNNNNNNNNNNNNNNNNNNNNNNNNNNNNNNNNNNNNNNNNNNNNNNNNNNNNNNNNNNNNNNNNNNNNNNNNNNNNNNNNNNNNNNNNNNNNNNNNNNNNNNNNNNNNNNNNNNNNNNNNNNNNNNNNNNNNNNNNNNNNNNNNNNNNNNNNNNNNNNNNNNNNNNNNNNNNNNNNNNNNNNNNNNNNNNNNNNNNNNNNNNNNNNNNNNNNNNNNNNNNNNNNNNNNNNNNNNNNNNNNNNNNNNNNNNNNNNNNNNNNNNNNNNNNNNNNNNNNNNNNNCACUCACAAAGAGACAGCACUCGAUCGCGGCCCAAGAAAGCAUAGCAUGGAUGUGACGUCGCUUCACCACACGGCGUCCAUGCAAUCACAUCAGUCGAGUUGUUACGGUCAAGAAUUACCUCCAACUAUUGCGAGGACUCAGCGACCAAGUCGUAGUGUACGCAUCACGGCUGACGCGUAAAGGGAAAGUUACAAUUUGUCCAAACCAUAAGCACCCAAGGUUAAUAAUCUUCACAACCCCAAGAUCCGCGAGUAACAUCCCGAGGUGAUUACAUCGAUACAAAAGGGUUGCACACAGCAAGUUACUCAGACUCACUUCGCGCCUUAUUCGUACAUACACACGUGGCUGGCGAAACUAACUCAUACCUGAACAUGAGUUCAGGCAUUUCAAAGCAGUCAAAAAGGGCUCUAGGGAUGAGUAAAAACCAGGGCCUUGGCGAGAUCUAAUGCCUUCUUGCGGCCAAAGAACUUUUCCACUAUCGCCAAUGCAAAUUCCAUGGUAGUUCCAGGGCCUCUGCUUGUUAUGAGGUUGCCAUCCACCACCACUCUGUUUUCAGCUUCGCUUGCAUCUGACAACUUAUUGCACAGCGCAGGGAAAGCUGUGGCCUUCUUUCCCUGGAAAGACGCCAGGCAAGAAAUCAAUGAAUAAUCACUUCCCCCAAAGGAAAGAUAUUGCUUACCCAUUAAUAUUUGCCCGUUUUAAUUCCCCAAACCAAAUGUUGUUCAUAAGUAUCAGAAGAAGUGCAAUAUCAAUUCAUGGCUAAACACACAGAGGCAUUUCCAAGGUCAUGUAGCAGAUUUACCAACCAAACUGGAUUUCACUUGAAAGCCACCUGAGACAAAAGCAACAUUUCAUUUGGUUUGCUGCCAUCUCAUGCCCAUUUAGGUCAAAUUCUUAACUAUCCUGUAUGUGUCAGACAUGGAAUGGCCUCCUAAUCAAACUUUUAACACAAGGUAAUAUUUGCAAGUCCAAUAGAGCAAUGUUUCUCUUCCAUGUGAACAAGCUCUUUAGUCCACAGUUCUG